UACAGAUCGUGUUUGUUUUUUAUUUUUUUAAUGACAAACCGUCGACACACCUCGCCCGCGUACAAAGUUGGACAAGAAAUCUCGAACUCAUCUUAAAGGUAAACCGGCGCGUUUACCUACCACUAUCAUCAUCUUCGUCGAUCCAGGGACCCAAACCAUUCAAGUAACCUAACCAUUGAUCCUUGGGAUUCCACCUGCUAAGCACGACAAUCAAUUGGCCGCGGUUCCAUGAUGACUUCGUCGAUUGCGGUGCAGGUUUCGGUCUUCCUGGUCAUGGCGUCGUUGCGACCACGGUCCACAUUCAGUACUCCGCACGGAAGUCUACUGCCGUACGAUUACUAUACCGCUGACGAUGCUGUGUACAAUGCCACUGCCGUUGACCACGAUGACCGAACGGAGCAUGCUCGACAUAAUUACGAAACGCCGUUUCGAUUCAAUUUCUAUUCGAUUAUGUAUUCAUUUAUAUUGAGAGAGUUGUGUUAUAAAACGAGCACUAAGAACCGUUUGCCUUUUAUCUGUAGUAUAAACAAAGGUUUGUAUGAAAAUAAGAAAAUAUUUUUAUAAAACACACAUUUAUAUAUUUUAUAUAAUCACUUCCUUCUCACCUUCUCUUCUAAGACAAAUUGAAUCGAUACGACGUGUGCUUUAUAUAAAAUGGCUACGUUGACCCAUGCAUAACGUAACACCUAUUUGUAUUUGAUUUGAAUAAAAAAAAUAUUUAUUCACCUACUGUUUUUGAGUGUUAUUUUUACCAAAGAUUUGGCAUCUAUUAUCCCCUAAAUAGAUACAUCGUCUUUGAUAAAAUCAACUCUCUUAGACUACGCGUGUAUCCCUAUUAUAUAUAAUCUAUUUUAUUUCUUGAGUUUAUCUAUAUCUAGUGUUUAUUAAUUAAGAUAAUUAAUUGAUAUAUUUAUAAUAAAUGGUACUAACUAUCGACAAUAUAGUUAUGUAAAACAAAAUCUAUACUUACUGCUCAAGAGUUCAAACUUACGAUAUAUAGGAUAUUAUACAUCAAUAACAAACCUAGAUGGAAUAUGAAAUAAAUUUUGGAAUAAUUUGUUGCUGUUAAAUUGAAUACUGUGUACAAUAAUAAAUAAUGAUACAAUUUCAAAAGUUACAUACAAUACGAUGAUUCUGGAUUCAAUAGAUAAUUUGAUGAAUAGACGCCGACAAUUUAUUAAAAUCACUGGACCUUACUACAUCAAUAUAAUAUUAUUACAUGGCCAUAAAUGUAAACGUUAACAUACUGAAAUCGAUGAUACAAUGUUAUACGAGGUAAUUUAUCAAGAAGACUCAUUGAAACUCUUUUUAUUUUUGAUAUAGUAAAUUAACUAAGAAAUUUAAAUUUUUAGAAAUUUUAAUUAUACUUAAAGACUAA